GACGAACGCUGGCGGCGUGCUUAACACAUGCAAGUCGAACGGAAAGGCCCUGCUUUUGUGGGGUGCUCGAGUGGCGAACGGGUGAGUAACACGUGAGUAACCUGCCCUUGACUUUGGGAUAACUUCAGGAAACUGGGGCUAAUACCGGAUAGGAGCUCCUGCUGCAUGGUGGGGGUUGGAAAGUUUCGGCGGUUAGGGAUGGACUCGCGGCUUAUCAGCUUGUUGGUGGGGUAGUGGCUUACCAAGGCUUUGACGGGUAGCCGGCCUGAGAGGGUGACCGGCCACAUUGGGACUGAGAUACGGCCCAGACUCCUACGGGAGGCAGCAGUGGGGAAUAUUGCACAAUGGGCGGAAGCCUGAUGCAGCAACGCCGCGUGCGGGAUGACGGCCUUCGGGUUGUAAACCGCUUUCGCCUGUGACGAAGCGUGAGUGACGGUAAUGGGUAAAGAAGCACCGGCUAACUACGUGCCAGCAGCCGCGGUGAUACGUAGGGUGCGAGCGUUGUCCGGAUUUAUUGGGCGUAAAGGGCUCGUAGGUGGUUGAUCGCGUCGGAAGUGUAAUCUUGGGGCUUAACCCUGAGCGUGCUUUCGAUACGGGUUGACUUGAGGAAGGUAGGGGAGAAUGGAAUUCCUGGUGGAGCGGUGGAAUGCGCAGAUAUCAGGAGGAACACCAGUGGCGAAGGCGGUUCUCUGGGCCUUUCCUGACGCUGAGGAGCGAAAGCGUGGGGAGCGAACAGGCUUAGAUACCCUGGUAGUCCACGCUGUAAACGGUGGGUACUAGGUGUGGGGUCCAUUCCACGGGUUCCGUGCCGUAGCUAACGCUUUAAGUACCCCGCCUGGGGAGUACGGCCGCAAGGCUAAAACUCAAAGGAAUUGACGGGGCCCCGCACAAGCGGCGGAGCAUGCGGAUUAAUUCGAUGCAACGCGUAGAACCUUACCUGGGUUUGACAUGGAUCGGGAGCGCUCAGAGAUGGGUGUGCCUCUUUUGGGGUCGGUUCACAGGUGGUGCAUGGCUGUCGUCAGCUCGUGUCGUGAGAUGUUGGGUUAAGUCCCGCAACGAGCGCAACCCUUGUUCACUGUUGCCAGCACGUUAUGGUGGGGACUCAGUGGAGACCGCCGGGGUCAACUCGGAGGAAGGUGGGGAUGACGUCAAGUCAUCAUGCCCCUUAUGUCCAGGGCUUCACGCAUGCUACAAUGGCUGGUACAGAGAGUGGCGAGCCUGUGAGGGUGAGCGAAUCUCGGAAAGCCGGUCUCAGUUCGGAUUGGGGUCUGCAACUCGACCUCAUGAAGUCGGAGUCGCUAGUAAUCGCAGAUCAGCAACGCUGCGGUGAAUACGUUCCCGGGGCU
rnacentral:rRNA from 1 species